UAAGGAAUAUUGGUCAAUGGACGCAAGUCUGAACCAACCAUGCCGCGUGAAGGAUGAAGGUCCUCUGGAUUGUAAACUUCUUUUAUCUGGGACGAAAACGGGAUUUUUAUCUCAAUUGACGGUACCAGAGGAAUAAGCACCGGCUAACUCCGUGCCAGCAGCCGCGGUAAUACGGAGGGUGCGAGCGUUAUCCGGAUUUACUGGGUUUAAAGGGUGCGUAGGUGGGCUUAUAAGUCAGUGGUGAAAUCUCCGAGCUUAACUUGGAAACUGCCGUGGAUACUAUAGGUCUUGAAUUGUCUGGAGGUAAGCGGAAUAUGUCAUGGAGCGGUGAAAUGCUUAGAUAUGACAUAGAACACCAAUUGCGAAGGCAGCUUACUACAUAUAAAUUGACGCUGAGGCACGAAAGCAUGGGGAUCAAACA
rnacentral:rRNA from 1 species